rnacentral:rRNA from 1 species
GAUGAACGCUGGCGGCGUGCCUAAUACACGCAAGUCGAGCGAACAGACGAGGAGCUUGCUCCUCUGACGUUAGCGGCGGACGGGUGAGUAACACGUGGAUAACCCACCUAUAAGACUGGGAUAACUUCGGGAAACCGGAGCUAAUACCGGAUAAUAUAUUGAACCGCAUGGUUCAAUAGUGAAAGACGGUUUUGCUGUCACUUAUAGAUGGAUCCGCGCCGCAUUAGCUAGUUGGUAAGGUAACGGCUUACCAAGGCGACGAUACAUAGCCGACCUGAGAGGGUGAUCGGCCACACUGGGACUGAGACACGGCCAG